GGGGAUGUGGCGGAACUGGAAAACGCAUCCGGCUCCUAACCGGAUCACCUGCCAGGGUUUUGUGGAUUCGAGUCCCACCAUCUCCA
rnacentral:tRNA from 1 species